GUCUUUUUUGAAUCCAAAUUGCCAUUAUAGAUUUGAGGAAAAAUCAUGGGCUAUUAAGAGGAUUAAACUACGUUGAGGCGGUAGUUCAAAAGACUACCCAUUUAACGUGAUCACCGUCUAAAAUAACAAGUGGGUAAAAUUUAUACCAAUUACAGUCGAGCUUCUUCAAAAUUGUCCGUUUUAUUUUCGCGUAGUCAGUUAGCUAAAAAGAAAACCCAAAUCAACAACCGUGUUUUCAGUCUCCGAAACACAAAAUUAUUCUGACAUCAAUACAUAUCUCAGAGGAAUAAACAAACGAACAAAAACAAACAGAAUGGUUUCGCAAAAGACAGCUAUGAUUCUGGCCGUGGUCGUUUUUGGUGUGCUUCUUUGUUUCUCAAAUGCAGAGGUUAAAAAAUGGAUGGAAUACAAGAAGUCUGCCCCCACCAAGGAAAUGUACGAGAACAUUCUAGAACAAGCACUCGAUGAGAUCCUUGAGGACGUUUGCAAGACGUGCCCACGCGUAUGCGGACAGAUGACCAAAAAGUGGAUGGAAUACCGAAAAUAAACAACAACAACAACAACAUUGAAAACAUCAACAGAUUCAAAAAAAGAACUCGGCAAACCCCAGGAUUUGACUUGGAAACAAACUCGAAGGCAAAAUAUGAUUUCAGUUUUGUUUUCAUUCUGAAAUUCAGAUUGAAAUUUAUGUCUAAAUUCCUUUUUUAUUUAUUUAUGGCAAAAAUUGUUUAGAACGUGAAUUGAUCUGAUGAAUUGCAGGAACUUUGAUUAGUGGAAAAAUGCAAAUAUGCCCCGAAACAAAUUGAAAGUAUUCUAUUGAACCGUA